UACAGACGGUCCAAACGUUAUUCGGAAUUACUGGGCUUAAAGAGUUCGUAGGCGGUCAAGUAAGUGGGAUGUGAAAUCCCCCGGCUUACCCGGGGACCGGCAUCCCAUACUGCUUGGCUUGAGUACGGGAGAGGAUGUGGGAAUUCCUGGUGUAGCGGUGAAAUGCGUAGAUAUCAGGAGGAACACCGGUGGCGAAGGCGCACAUCUGGCCCGAUACUGACGCUAAAGCGCGAAAGCUAGGGGAGCAAACGGG
rnacentral:rRNA from 1 species